rnacentral:sRNA from 1 species
GCAUUAACUUUCGGGGCAGUUCACUACUCGACAGAGAGUAGGACAAAAGCGAAAGCUUUUGAACGUUGCGAAGCAACGGCCCGAAGGGUGAAUCACGAAGUGAUUCAUAAACUGCCAGGCAUCAA